GGCCCUAUCGCUUAGUGAUAGAGCAUGUGUUUUGCAUGCAAAAGCCCCAGAUUCAAUCCCUGAUAGGUGGCA